GGUCUUGCAGGAAUUAAUCACUGCUUAACAGUGGGUGCGCCUGUGUUUAUGAAGUCAUUUGGAAUAUCUGCAUGUAACCACUGGCACUACGAGGAGAGAGUAUAUGCAGAAAGUUAAUCUUCUCUGCUCCAGUGAGCACUGUGUAGAAAUGAGCUGGCUCAGAAAUGCAGCAGGUGGCCCCAAACUACAGUACAUGGGCACUCUAAACCUCCAGGGGCAGGCAUGUUUUGACAUCAUUCCUGGAAGGUGGCACAGCUGGGACUGACAAUGCAGUAUGUCAGCCAAUCCCCUUUUGAGAAGAUGGACUUUCAGCAAUUUAGGGUGUCGAAGCUCUGCUAAGGAUUCCCAUUCAAAUCAAGCAGAAGAGAGCAUCACAGAUGGAAUACAAAUACACAGUAGAGAAGUGGAACAGGGUUAGUGAAGUGUGCAGUUGGCGAGAUUGAUGUUGAUACCCUUCACUGCCAAGUGAAAUGCCAAUAAUGCUUGUAUAGCAUUUUGUGAGGGCAAUGGGAGUAUUGAUUUUGAGCAAUAAUAAAGAAUGAAGCAGCUCUCUCAGGUAUAAAAAUAUUGGCAACUGUUACAAAGAAUUGACUCAUAGAGGCCUGAGUGCCUGCCUAUCUUAAUACAAAUAAUUCAGGCUUCAGAAAGAUUUCAGGAGCAGCCAGGCAUGGUCCUCAGGCACAUUCUCUGCUAUUAAUUUACCUGCAGCUUUCACAAGCCUCUCAAGUCUACCAGCCAAUUGGUCUGUGAGGUGCAGGGACAAAAUGGAUUUCUCACAGCAAGCCUUCAGACAAUAUGAAAAAC